GUGGGGUCUGUUCCUUCCUGCCCGGCAGAGAAAGCACGUGGUCCUCCUGCAGUUUACUGCCACUGGCAGAGAAAAAACUGCAUCCUUGUUCAGUGCCUUCUGGAACAACCUUGAGAAACGAAUCCUGGGUAAAUGUCACCUAGCAUUACUGAAAUUAUUUCACUAAGGAAAUCAAAAUAAUUGCAUUGUUAUAGUCUGAGCUAUUUCAAUGGGCCCUUGGCUGUGGCCACGAUGAACCACUACUGUGCUGAUGGUGAGGCAAGACCCAUGUCCAUUCCAGGACUAGGUGGAGUGUGCAACCAGCAGUGACAGCAAAAUCCCCCAGAGGACACACUUCUAGUGAUGAUUGCUGCUGUAAGGGCAGUCUCUGCUUCUGGGCUACCUGCAGAAAUGUCACUUGUUUUGUUGACAUCAUGGGACAUCUGUUGUAGUAGGCGUGUCACGGAUCUCGGUCUGUAAUGCGGAAAGGCCCUUCCCCAUAUGCUUGCUAUUGGUUCACCUAAAUACUUGAACCUGUGUCGUGGACACAGGGGGCUGUGCUUCUUAGUUUUCAUAACAAGAGGCACAACAACUCCGUGUAUGGCCUUUCGGAAGUGACAGGUCAGAAGCAGGAGAUUCAAUAUGAUUGGCCAGGAGUACCGCGUGAGC